GACGAACGCUGGCGGCGUGCCUAAUACAUGCAAGUUGAGCGCUGAAGGUUGGUACUUGUACCCACUGGAUGAGCAGCGAACGGGUGAGUAACGCGUGGGGAAUCUGCCUUUGAGCGGGGGACAACAUUUGGAAACGAAUGCUAAUACCGCAUAAAAACUUUAAACACAAGUUUUAAUUGUGAAAGAUGCAAUUGCAUCACUCAAAGAUGAUCCCGCGUUGUAUUAGCUAGUUGGUGAGGUAAAGGCGCACCAAGGGGAUGAUACAUAGCCGACCUGAGAGGGUGAUCGGCCACAUUGGGACUGAGACACGGCCCAAACUCCUACGGGAGGCAGCAGUAGGGAAUCUUCGGCCAUGGACGAAAGUCUGACCGAGCCACGCCGCGUGAGUGAAGAAGGUUUUCGGAUCGUAAAACUCUGUUGGUAGAGAAGAAAGUUGGUGAGAGUGGAAAGCUCAUCAAGUGACGGUAACUACCCAGAAAGGGACGGCUAACUACGUG
rnacentral:rRNA from 1 species